rnacentral:rRNA from 1 species
UACGAAGGGGGCUAGCGUUGCUCGGAAUCACUGGGCGUAAAGCGCACGUAGGCGGCUUCUUAAGUCAGGGGUGAAAUCCUGGAGCUCAACUCCAGAACUGCCUUUGAUACUGAGGAGCUUGAGUCCGGGAGAGGUGAGUGGAACUGCGAGUGUAGAGGUGAAAUUCGUAGAUAUUCGCAAGAACACCAGUGGCGAAGGCGGGUCUCUGGGCCAAAACUGACGCUGAGGAGCGAAAGCGUGGGGAGCGAACAGG